UUUAAAGAGAGUUUGAUCCUGGCUCAGGACGAACGCUGGCGGCGUGCCUAAUACAUGCAAGUCGAACGAACGGAGGAAGAGCUUGCUCUUCCAAAGUUAGUGGCGGACGGGUGAGUAACACGUGGGCAACCUGCCUGUAAGUUGGGGAUAACUCCGGGAAACCGGGGCUAAUACCGAAUGAUAAAGUGUGGCGCAUGCCACGCUUUUGAAAGAUGGUUUCGGCU
rnacentral:rRNA from 1 species